rnacentral:rRNA from 1 species
UUGUAGCAAUACGGAGCCUAGAGUGUCGUACGGGUGCGUAACACGUAUGCAACCUACCUUUUACAGGAGUAUAGCUCCCCGAAAGGGGAAUUAACCCUCCAUAAUAUCAUUGGAUGGCAUCAUUUGAUGAUUAAAACUGAGGUGGUAAAAGAUGGGCAUGCGUCUGAUUAGUUAGUUGGCAGUGUAACGGACUACCAAGACGAUGAUCAGUAGGGGACCUGAGAGGGUGAUCCCCCACACUGGCACUGAGAUACGGGCCAGACUCCUACGGGAGGCAGCAGUAGGGAAUAUUGGACAAUGGGUGAGAGCCUGAUCCAGCCAUGCCGCGUGCAGGAAGAAGGCGUUAUGCGUUGUAAACUGCUUUUGCCAGGGGAUAAAACGGUUCUGCGGAACUAAUUGAAGGUACCUGGUGAAUAAGCCACGGCUAACUACGUGCCAGCAGCCGCGGUAAUACGUAGGUGGCAAGCGUUGUCCGGAUUUAUUGGGUUUAAAGGGUGCGUAGGCGGCCCUGUAAGUCAGUGCUGAAAUAUCCCGGCUUAACCGGGAGGGUGGCAUUGAUACUGCAGGGCUUGAGUACAGAUGAGGUAGGCGGAAUUGACGGUGUAGCGGUGAAAUGCAUAGAUAUCGUCAAGAACACCGAUAGCGAAGGCAGCUUACCAAGCUGUAACUGACGCUGAGGCACGAAAGUGUGGGGAUCAAACAGGAUUAGAUACCCUGGUAGUCCACACUGUAAACGUUGAUGACUCGAUGUUGGCGAUACACAGCCAGCGUCCAAGAGCAAUCGUUAAGUCAUCCACCU